AAUAAACGCUGGCGGCGUGCCUAACACAUGCAAGUCGAACGAGAAAGCCAUGACUUCGGUUGGGCGAGUAAAGUGGCGCACGGGUGAGUAACGCGUAGGCAACCUACCCUUGAAUUUGGGAUAACAGUGCGAAAGUGCUGCUAAUACCGGAUACGACCCUUUUGUGCUGGGCAAAAGGGUGAAAGUCGGCCACUGGAACAAGCCGACGUUCGGGGAUGGGCCUGCGUCCUAUCAGCUGGUUGGUAGGGUAACGGCCUACCAAGGCGACGACGGGUAGCUGGUCUGAGAGGAUGAUCAGCCACACUGGCACUGGAACACGGGCCAGACUCCUACGGGAGGCAGCAGUGAGGAAUUUUGCGCAAUGGCCGCAAGGCUGACGCAGCAACGCCGCGUGGGUGAAGAAGGCCUUCGGUCGGUUAAGGACCCUCGUCAGGUGGGAAGGAACGACAACGGGAGGGAAGUAUAGCUCUGUGAGGUGACGGUACCACCACGAGGAAGGACACCGGCCGUAACUACCCGUGCCG
rnacentral:rRNA from 1 species